CCUACGGGUGGCAGCAGUGAGGAAUAUUGGUCCAUGGCCGAGAGGCUGAACCAGCAAAGUCGCGUGAGGGAAGAAUGUCCUAUGGAUUGUAAACCUCUUUUGUCAGGGAGCAAAGUCAACCACGUGUGGGUGUUGGAGAGUACCUGAAGAAACAGCAUCGGCUACCUCCGUGCCAGCAGCCGCGGUAAUACGGAGGAUGCGAGCGUUAUCCGGAUUUAUUGGGGUGAAAGGGGGCGUAGGCGGGUUAUCAAGUCAGCGGUAAAAUCGUGGAGCUCAAAUUCAUCCAGCCGUUGAACCUGAUUAGCUUGAGUGGGCGAGAAGUAUGCGGAAGUCGUGGUGUAGCGGUGAAAGGCAGAGAUAUCACGCAGAACUCCGAGUGCGAAGGCAGCAUACCGGCGCCCGACUGACGCUGAAGCACGAAAGCGUGGGUAUCGAACAGGAUUAGAUACCCCAGUAGUC
rnacentral:rRNA from 1 species